UUAAGGUUAAAAGGAUUAAAUUACAUUGAAACAUUGGUCACGAAAAGGUUGCAUCGAAUCAUCGAUCUUAUUAUUACUUGGGUAGCAGUGAUGCAUUACUAGAUGCCGCUCAUUGUUUAUAAUUUUAUAAUAUGAUUUUAAAAUUAUUGCCAACGUAAUAAUAACCUAUAGGGUCACACACAAAGAACGUAAUUAAAAAG
rnacentral:lncRNA from 1 species